GAGCCAGUGGCGAAACUGGUAACCGCAGUGCACUUGAGAUGCACCGUCCUCACAGACAUACGGGUUCGAGUCCCGUCUGGCUCA
rnacentral:tRNA from 2 species